AGUCAAUGAUGUUGGAAUUUGUCCGUACCAUCUGAGCUCUGAUCUUUGACGAGACUUUUUACAAAUUUGUGAGGCUA